AAAUUCUCAAGUAAUCUUAUAGAUAUUACGUAUUUAUCUAUCAAGAAUAUAUGAUUUAUUUCGAAACAUAACCUCAAAUUACAAACAAGACUUGCAGUUUAGUAUCUAUUCUAUCGCUUGGAGUCGCCACCGAUUCUAAUAAAGUACACGUAAAGUAGAAAAGG